GGAUGUGAGGGCAAUCUGGCUGUGACAUCUGCUCACCACUGAUUGCCAAGGUUGAUUCAGCUGAUCUGACUGGCUAGGCGGUUGUCCUCUUCCUCCCUCAUGGCUCUGUGUGCAUCCCUCCCAAACAUGCCUGUUCAGUCAAAGAGUAUGACCAUCCCCAAUAGAGGAGGACUAGUCUUCAGUCAAGGGUAUACGAGUAGCUGCGCUCCCCUGCUAGAAAUGCCAAACAAGCUCUCAAGGUCCACAGAUGCUAAUAUAUAUGAUAGAUGCUAAGGUGCAUAUACAGACAAAUAUUAGGAUCUGCAUGUCUGUAGAUGUGACUCU
ensembl:misc_RNA 7SK 7SK RNA